GAUGAAGAACGUAGCGAAAUGCGAUAAGUAAUAUGAAUUGCAGAAUUCAGUGAAUCAUCGAAUCUUUGAACGCACAUCGCGCCCGCCAGUAUUCUGGCGGGCAUGCCUGUUCGAGCGUCAUUUCAACCAUCAAGCCCCCGGCUUGUGUUGGGGACCUGCGGCUGCCGCAGGCCCUGAAAAGCAGUGGCGGGCUCGCUGUCACACCGAGCGUAGUAGCAUACAUCUCGCUCUGGGCGUGCUGCGGGUUCCGGCCGUUAAACCACCUUCAUAACCCAAGGUUGACCUCGGAUCAGGUAGGAAGACCCGCUGAACUUAAGCAUAUCAAUAAGCGGAGGA
rnacentral:misc_RNA from 1 species